rnacentral:rRNA from 1 species
UGCGCAGGCGGAUUGUUAAGCAAGAUGUGAAAUCCCCGGGCUUAACCUGGGAAUGGCAUUUUGAACUGGCAGUCUAGAGUGCGUCAGAGGGGGGUGGAAUUCCACGUGUAGCAGUGAAAUGCGUAGAGAUGUGGAGGAACACCGAUGGCGAAGGCAGCCCCCUGGGAUGACACUGACGCUCAUGUACGAAAGCGUGGGUAGCAAACA